GGCCCAGUGGUGUAUUGGUAACACAUUCUCUUUAUCUGCAUGGCAAAAGCACAAGUCAGAGGAAGCACCCUGUUUGAUUCGGGGCUGGGCCA